rnacentral:rRNA from 1 species
GGGCUUGACAUCCCACGAACCUGCCAGAGAUGGCUUGGUGCUCGAAAGAGAACCUGGACACGGGUGCUGCAUGGCUGUCGUCAGCUCGUGUCGUGAGAUGUUGGGUUAAGUCCCGCAACGAGCGCAACCCUUGUCUUCUGUUGCCAUCGGGUCAAGCCGGGCACUCUGAAGAGACUGCCGGUGACAAACCGGAGGAAGGUGGGGAUGACGUCAAGUCAGCAUGGCCUUUAUGUCUGGGGCCACACACGUGCUACAAUGGCCGGUACAAACCGUCGCAAACUCGCGAGGGUGAGCUAAUCGGAUAAAGCCGGUCUCAGUUCGGAUUGUAGGCUGCAACUCGCCUGCAUGAAGUUGGAAUCGCUAGUAAUCGCGGAUCAGCACGCCGCGGUGAAUACGUCCCCGGGCCUUGUACACACCGCCCGUCACAUCACGAAAGCCGGCUGUACUCGAAGUCGCUGAGA